rnacentral:tRNA from 2 species
GGCGGCGUAGCUCAGCUGGUUAGAGCACACGGCUCAUAAUCGUGGGGUCGUCGGUUCGAGUCCGACCGCCGCUA